rnacentral:rRNA from 1 species
AUUGAACGCUGGCGGCAUGCCUUACACGUGCAAGUCGAACGGUAACGGACCUUCGGGUGCCGACGAGUGGCGAACGGGUGAGUAAUGUAUCGGAACGUACCUUUCAGUGGGGGAUAACGUAGCGAAAGUUACGCUAAUACCGCAUAUUCUGUGCGCAGGACAGCAGGGGACCUUCGGGCCUUGCGCUGAUUGAGCGGCCGAUAUCAGAUUAGCUAGUUGGUGAGGUAAAGGCUCACCAAGGCGACGAUUUGUAGCGGGUCUGAGAGGAUGAUCCGCCACACUGGAACUGAGACACGGUCCAGACGCCUACGGGAGGCAGCAGUGGGGAAUUUUGGACAAUGGGGGCAACCCUGAUCCAGCCAUGCCACGUGAGUGAAGAAGGCCUUCGGGUUGUAAAGCUCUUUCGGCCGGGAAGAAAUCGUAUCAGCUAAUACCUGGUGCGGAUGACGGUACCGGCAUAAGAAGCACCGGCUAACUACGUGCCAGCAGCCGCGGUAACAC